rnacentral:misc_RNA from 1 species
AACAUACCUAAACGUUGCUUCGGCGGGAACAGACGGCCCCGUGAAACGGGCCGCCCCCGCCAGAGGACCCCUAACUCUGUUUCUAUAAUGUUUCUUCUGAGUAAAACAAGCAAAUAAAUUAAAACUUUCAACAACGGAUCUCUUGGCUCUGGCAUCGAUGAAGAACGCAGCGAAAUGCGAUAAGUAAUGUGAAUUGCAGAAUUCAGUGAAUCAUCGAAUCUUUGAACGCACAUUGCGCCCGCCAGUAUUCUGGCGGGCAUGCCUGUUCGAGCGUCAUUACAACCCUCAGGCCCCCGGGCCUGGCGUUGGGGAUCGGCGGAGCCCCCCGUGGGCAGAAACCGUCCCCCAAAUACAGUGGCGGUCCCGCCGCAGCUUCCAUCGCGUAGUAGCUAACACCUCGCGACUGGAGAGCGGCGCGGCCACGCCGUAAAACACCCAACUCUUCUGAA